GUUGAGCAAGACGCGAAUCUCAAAUUAUUUUAACUUCCUAUGCACGCGCACUACUUAGGGGCUUAACCUGAUUGUUUUUGCAGCCUGCGUAGUGCACUAAGCACACGCGCGCGGUCGUGUUUGAGCACCGCUCUUCUAAAUAUAACUGAUAGAAAAAGGUGCCAGCAAAGGCGGAACUGUUGCACUGCGCUUAUUAUUCUUCUGAAGCCGAAGGGAAGAGGAGCGUUAGAGCGUCUGAGCUUCUCUCUGGUUUACACGAAACACGAAGAGCUGAUUAACUCCUGAAAAUGGCGAGCAAAGAGGAGGCAGUGGUGACUGAAUGUGCGCUCCAGCUGCGUGCGCUUGGAGAUAUGAUCUACUGGAAAUAUGUCCUGCUGGAGUUUCUGGCAAAACACAUACAAGCCGCGAACGAAGACCCGGCAGGAGGGACGUAAGUCCUGAACGAGAUACGCACUUCAUGAGGAUUAUAAUCACGAAGAGGUCACUUGAGGGCUGAGCUGAUAUGGGUGCUCGUUUUCUGCAUCCGUCUGGAAAAAAAAAAAGAGGAAAAUAAAGAAAAAUCCUCCUGAAAUGGAAAAAAAAACUUCCUCACUCCUUGCUGUCGGUCACUGAUGAUGAUGAUGAUGAUGGUGGUGUCUGCGGAAACCUCUUUCCUGCCUGCUGUUUUACUGCUUUGGAGAGCGGACUUUUGACCGCAUCGUACCCUGGACUUUGUGAAGAACCUGUUCCUGACGUCUCCUGUGACGGCCUGGUCGCAUUCUGGCACAAAGACACUUUAGUAAACAACCUCACAUCGGCGCUCUAUGUGUAUUUAUAUAGACAUAAAUCCUGUUACAUUUGUCUUUGUAUUACCGGCGCUUAGUAAUAGUGCUUUUGACUGUUUUCCAGCUUUUUGUUUAUCUGAAAAAAAAAAAAAAAAAAAAAAAAGACUUAGCAUGAAUUUUCAGAUCCUCUACCUCAGGUCAGGUUUCAGUCUGUGCAGUUUAAUCCAAGGUUUAUCGAGUUUUAUGCCAGGAGUGUGUCCGAACAUGUUCUGCAUAUCAGAUUCCAAGAAUAAAAACGCAGGUUAACAAGCAUUACUACAGGAAGUUCUGCUUAUGUUCUCACUCAGUACACUUAGGAUAAUAGUAGCAAAGAAAAGGUGCUUUAAUAGGAGAAGAAGGGAAUUUAGUGAUGUUGCUGGUAAGAUCCAUUCCUCAACAUCUGCUUUAUAUGAUAAGGAUAAAGGAAGAGCUGGAACACAUUGCUGUCUCUUCCUUUUCAUUCUUAAAUUAAACAAAUGCUUCUUUAAUUCUCGCUUAAACAGCUGCUGUAUUCGUAGCUUCCCCAUGAGAUUCACGUCAUUCAAUGAAAAAUUUCAUUUUUCUUUCUUUUCGGCCAUCUUUGAUUACUGGCCCCAAAAUGGCUGACAAUAAUUCAAACACAUCAUAUUAUGUCUGCAUCUAAGACCACUAGAGCUGUGUGAUUUAUUCAAUUCUGAAAUGUAUUUAAUGCAUUGUUGCUUGAUUGAGUUAAUGAAAUUCUUGUGUCGGGUUUUCGAAUAUAGUAUCGAUUCACACUUUUUAAAUUGUUAAGUUGGAAACCUUAAAUGGUCUAAAAUUGACCCAAAUUAAAAAACAACAACCGUUUUUGCAGAAAAUACGAAUGCGCCUCUCUUUCUUUCGAGUUCAUGUGCAGUUGGUGCAAUAUCGCCACCUGUUGGCCUGGAGUGUCGAACAGAAGAUUAGCGCUUUGUACAAGAAGUGACAUUUAAAUCAUUAACAACACAAGUUACAAAGCAUUUUAAUGUUUAUUCAAAUAAAAUAAAAAAAUCUCUUUAGUGCUUGUGAAUCGUAUCGAACCGUAAAACUGCAUCGAAUCGACAUUCUGCCCGUGAUUCACAGCUCUAAUGGCCACAUGAAGCAUUCUUUCUAUCAUUUAUAGAAAAUCACAUCACAUCAGCGUGAACCCAGGUUUAGUUUUUACUCAUGUGUCUAUGGUUUACCAUCCAGAACACUCAGAUCAUGUGACUGUUUAUGGGGAUCAGGGUUUCUGUUGUUAUCAACCCAGUCUGAGGAAUUUCUGACUAUUUAAGGUUUGUUAAGCUCUUAUGAAACACAUCUUAGAGUCGUAUUUAUUUGGUGCUGGGUUCGAAUAAAUUAGAUAAACCCUUUCCUCUGGGUUUUGUUUCUCACUGCUGUAUUUGUUACAAUAUUGUUAAUUUAUACUUUUAUUGUAUCUUUCUUCCAUACCUUUGAUAAAAUACUCCUACCCAA